GAUGAACGCUGGCGGCGUGCCUAACACAUGCAAGUCGAGCGCAAAGACGAGCAGCUUGAUCCUCUGCCGUUCGCGGCGGUCGGGUGAGUAAAACGUGGAUAACCUACCUAUAAGACUGAGAUACCUUAGGGAAACAGAAGCUAAUACCGGAUAAUACAUUCAACUGCCUGGUUCAAUAGUGAAAGAUGGUUUUGCUGACCCUUAUAGCUGGUUCCGCGCUGCAUUGGCUAGUGGGCAAGGUAACGGCUUAUCAAGGGCAGGCUUCGUAGCCGACCUGGGGAGGUGAGCGGCCAGACUGGAACGGAGGGACGGUCCAGACGCGUACGGGAGGCAGCAGUAAGUAAUCUGCCGGGAUGGGCUGAAGCUUAACGGAGAAACGCCGCGUGAGUGAUGAAGGACUUCGGAGCGUAAAACUCUGUUAUUAGGAAAGAAAAAAGGUGUAAGUAACUAAGCACAACAUGACGGUACCUGAACAGGAAGCCACGGCUAACUACGUG
rnacentral:rRNA from 1 species